GGACGGGGCGGGGCUGGGGCGGGACGGGGCGGGGCUGGGGCAGGGCCUCCCGGCUGCCCCUAAGGGCACCUGUCAAAGGCAGAAGAUGCGAGUUCUGACGUUUGCGGCCUUUGGUACAGCACUUAACGUCGCCUAACGGCCGUUUUCUCAUCCCAGAAUGAGGACGUCACGCGGUUCUUCGCAUUGUUGUGAAGAAAAUCGUUUGGAAACCUUAAAAUACUGCGUAGAAACACGGUUCUCCACUCUUUUCCGAGGCCGGAUUUCUGACCGCAGUUUUGGGGGUGUGGGGGCCUCCAAGACUGGCUCGAUGGUCAUUGGAGGAAACUUUGACAGCUCCGCCCAGCGGCCUCUGAGCCUCUGCAUCCGCCGGCCCCGCCCUCUCUGCCGCUCUAGCUUUCUCCAACUGCAACCUGGAUUCCCCUGCUCCCGGGAAACAAAGAAAGAAGCUCUGUGUUUCAAUCCCUGAUUCAAUACUCCAGUCUGGGGAUGGGAGACUGCAAGGAGGUCCUGGUGGAGACUGGAAAUGGGGGAGCUGUUCCAUCUUCUCCCCCCAUCCUGCACCCCCAGCCUUCCCAAGCUCUGCUACAAACUUGCUUCCUGCAUUCUGGCCCCAGUGAAAGAAGGGGAUUGGACUCCAUGAGCUCUAAAAUUGCUUCCAGCUUCUAACAGUCUAAAAUCUAGGUAAGGAAAUUGAGGUUCAGAAGUUAAAAAAACUUGUCCAAGAUGACUGAAAUAGCAUGUGACAGAGGGGACCAUUUUUUACGCUACAUCAUGCUGUCUUCUAUGGUGGUGAGAAUGAUGAGUAUACCAGAGAGCAUGUCCAAAGAAGAAACCGGGACACUGAGGAAAAAGAGGGCAUGGAAUGAUAGAUGUUUUCAAACACCUGAAGCUCUCUCCUCAAAUUAAUUUGUGUUAUACUUACCUAUUUAAGUGUUGUAUUCCCCUUCCCUCUCCCCCCAAUCCCAUAUGUCUCCCUGCCAUUAUCAAUUCUUUGAGGGAAGAGACUAUUUUAUCUUGGUCUUUAAA